rnacentral:rRNA from 1 species
UCAAGAAACUUCCACAAUGGGCGAAAGCCUGAUGGAGCGACGUCGCGUGAUGGACGAAGUGCUUCGGCACGUAAACAUCUUUUUAUGUGGGAUGAAAUUAUUGACAGUACCACAUGAAUAAGGGGCUCCUAACUCUGUGCCAGCAGGAGCGGUAAUACAGAGGCCCCAAGCGUUAUCCGGAAUCACUGGGCGUAAAGGGUGUCGAGGCGGUUGUAUUAGUCGUUCGUAAAAUCUACGAGCUUAACUUGUAGGCGGCGAACGAAACGGUACGACUUGAGGUUUGGAGAGGUGCGUGGAACUCACGGUGUAGGGGUGAAAUCCGUUGAUAUCGUGGGGAACACCAAAGGCGAAGGCAGCGCACUGGCCAAAAUCUGACGCUCACACACGAAAGCUAGGGUAGCGAAGAGGAUUAGAUACCCGAGUAGUCCCUGAGCGGGCUGGCAAGGCGCAU